rnacentral:rRNA from 1 species
CACCUGUUCCCCUGCCGAACACAGAAGUUAAGCUCCUUAGCGCCGAUGGUCGUCGGACUUACGCUCCGCAAUAGUAGGUCGUUGCCAGGC